rnacentral:rRNA from 1 species
AUUGAACGCUGGCGGCAGGCCUAACACAUGCAAGUCGAGCGGAUGAAGGGAGCUUGCUCCUGGAUUCAGCGGCGGACGGGUGAGUAAUGCCUAGGAAUCUGCCUGGUAGUGGGGGAUAACGUCCGGAAACGGGCGCUAAUACCGCAUACGUCCUGAGGGAGAAAGUGGGGGAUCUUCGGACCUCACGCUAUCAGAUGAGCCUAGGUCGGAUUAGCUAGUUGGUGGGGUAAAGGCCUGCCAAGGCGACGAUCCGUAACUGGUCUGAGAGGAUGAUCAGUCACACUGGAACUGAGACACGGUAGACUCCUACGGGAGGCAGCAGUGGGGAAUAUUGGACAAUGGGCGAAAGCCUGAUCCAGCCAUGCCGCGUGUGUGAAGAAGGUCUUCGGAUUGUAAAGCACUUUAAGUUGGGAGGAAGGGCAGUAAGUUAAUACCUUGCUGUUUUGACGUUACCAACAGAAUAAGCACCGGCUAACUUCGUG